rnacentral:rRNA from 1 species
CSCCCUGUUUUACAAAAACAUGUYUUUUUGGAAAUAAUUUAAAGUYUAAUYUGCCCMCUGAUAAAUAUAUUAAAGGGSUGCAGUAUUUUGACUGUACAAAGGUAGCAUAAUCAUUAGUYUYUUAAUUGGUGACUUGUAUGAAAGAUUGGAUGAAAUAUAAACUGUYUYUAAUUAAUUUAUAAAAUUUAAUUUUUUAGUAAAAAAGCUAAAAUAAUUUUAAAAGACGAGAAGACCCUAUAGAGUUUUAUAAUUUAUUUGAUUAUUAUUAAUAUGUAAAUUUUAAAAUUAAAAUUAAAUAAAUUAUUUUGUUGGGGKGACAGAAAAAUUAAAUUAACUUUUUUAAAUAAUUAACAUUAAUUUAUGAAUAAAUGAUCCAUUAAUAUUGAUUAAAAGAAAAAAUUACCUUAGGGAUAACAGSGUAAUUUUUUUUUUUAGUUCAAAUAGGAAAAAAAGUUUGCGACCUCGAUGUUGGAUUAAGAUAAAAUUUAAAUGCAAAAGUUAAAAUUUGAUCKUCGAUCAAUCCGC